rnacentral:rRNA from 1 species
AUGUGUUCGGUCCCAUUAAACAAACCAAGUAAACGUAUCCAUUUGCAUGCCACUGCAAACCCAAAAGAGAUGAUGUCCAAACUAGAAACCAAUCAAACAGUCCAAAAUUUAACACAUGAGUCUUCAUUUAUCACGUAUGUAAUCUAUCAACAUGAAGUAUUCACAAAAUUUUAUAUAAUUUCAUCAUCAACACAAAUUCGGCUCACGGUCGAACAUGGAUGCGAUGAAUUAUUGAAGAAUCACAAUUUUAUCAUGCAAUAUCAAUAUGUAUUCCCUUUAUCUACAAUGCGUCGAUUCUUUUUAUGCAAUAAUGAUUUUAUUUAUGGAAGAUUUCAGUACAUUGCAGUAUAA